GAUGAACGCUGGCGGCGUGCCUAAUACAUGCAAGUCGAGCGAACAGACGAGGAUCUUGCUCCUCUGACGUUAGCGACGGACGGGUGAGUAACACGUGGAUAACCUACCUAUAAGACUGGGAUAACGUCGGGAAACCGGAGCUAAUACCGGAUAAUAUAUUGAACCGCAUGGUUCAAUAGUGAAAGACGGUUUUGCUGUCACUUUUACAGGGAUCCGCGCCGCAUUAGCUAAGUGGUAAGGUAACGGCUUACCAAGGCAACGAUGCGUAGCCGACCUGAGAGGAUGAUCGGCCACACUGGAACUGAGACACGGCCCAGACUCCUACGGGAGGCAGCAGUGGGGAAUUUUGCGCAAUGGGCGAAAGCCUGACGCAGCAACGCCGCGUGAGUGAAGAAGGUCUUCGGAUUGUAAACCUCUUUUAUUAGGGAAGAACAACUGUGUAAUAAACCAUGGAGGGCUUGACGGUACCGAAUCAGAAAGCACCGGCUAACUACGUG
rnacentral:rRNA from 1 species